GGAGCCAGACCCGGGUUUGUAAUAAUAAAGACUCUCUGCUUUUGCAUCAGACUCAGCUAGAUCCUGAAAUCUGGGCAUAACAAUCUCAAGCAGCGCCACUGACUGCGUGAACUCAGACGAGCACUGCUUCUUCUCACGGGAAGGAAAUAACCCAAUGAGCAUUCCAGCAGGAGGAAUAACAACAGAUCAGCAGCCACCAAACUUGAUUUCAGAAUCAGCUCUUCCAACUUCCCUUGGGGCCACAAACCCAACGAUGAACGGCUCAAAUUCUGGAAACAUUGGAACCCUCAGCACUAGACCAGCAGCAGCACCUACUUCCAGCACUGGCGUUCGGAAAGGCUGGCGUGAACAUGUCACCCAGGACCUGCGGAGCCACCUAGUGCAUAAACUCAUCCAAGCCAUCUUCCCAACACCUGACCCUGCAGCCCUGGAGGAUCCCCGCAUGGAGAACAUAGUGGCCUACGCUAAGAGAGUAGAAGGGGACAUGUAUGAGUCUGCCAACAGCCAGGAUGAAUACUAUAGCUUAUUAGAAGAGAAAAUCUGUAAAAUAGAAAAAGAUCAAGAAGAAAAACGGAGGUUGCGUUUUGCCAUCUUGGGUAACCAGCCAGCCUUUCCAGCCCCCGGGGCGUAGCCUCCUGGGAGACCACAGUCACACCUGUGAGACCUCCAGGGACAGGUGCCUGGUGCUGCUCUUCCUAACCCUCUGAACAUGCUUGGGUCCCAGCUGCCUUGUCCACCAGUGACACAAUCACCUUUGCACCAGACACCACCUCCUGCUUCCACAGCCCCUGGCCUGCCACCUCUACAGCAUCCAACAGCUCCUGUGAUGACUCCUCCCCCGCCAGCAGCUCCCACCCAGCCAUCAACUCCUGUGUCGUCUUCCGGGCAGACUCCUACCCCAACUCCUGGUUCCAUAUCUUAGUUCUUUUAAAUAAUUCUGCAGGGAACAUACAGGAGCAUAUACUUUUUAGAAUUAGUGUUUAUAAUUUCUUCAAAUAAAUACCUAGAAGUGGAAUUGCUGGA